AUGAGAAAUAUGGGGAAUUUGGAAAGACUAUCAACUGGUGUUCACGGCCAUCUCCCCUCCCUCAAACAGUUAUAUUUUCCAUGUUGCUCAAAGCUCCGGUACUUGUCAGAGGAUGGCUUCCCUCCCUCCCUCAAAAGUAUUCCGCAUAAUUCAAUGUGAGAUUCCGAAGGAUGGAUCCUCUCUUGCCGGUGACUAUUGGCACCUCAUCCAAGAAAUCCCACUCAUUGUGAUUGAUCUAGUUCGGAUCCAACAAGAAGAUUUCUCUCCACUGUCUUAAGUUUUGUUCAUCGGGUAAUGAUUCGGACUUCUUUCUUUUUUCACACUUGUCAUUUAGCUACUGCUGCUCCAUGAUCCAUUUCCAUUCCGUUUCCUCAACUCAAUGCUAAAAUGGUCAUGUUUUUCCAUGGACAUGCUUCACAUAAAUGUCCACAAACCAGCUGCUAAAGGUCCAAUGUUGACAUUUGGGUUGCUCUGUUUUGUUUACCAAGGAAGUAUGCCAUGAAAUGGUUAUAAUACUAACGUGGUGCAGCCAAUGACUAUUCCUCGAACAAAUAAUACCUGCAAGAACUUGCUCAUAGUGCUGGAAUUAUGAUCUAUCAAAUGUGUCUGUCUAUAUUGAUUAUAUAUCUAGAAUUUUGUGUGAUGGCCAAAAAUUGCUUAUCUUUGCACUUGGAUGACACAUAAAGAAUUUGUAAAUGGAAAUGCACUAUGCUUUGCGUGAGAAUCAUGAAAAUUUUUUGCUCUCACAUUGAUAUCGUUCUGCAAUUUCAGCAUUUGCUGUAUUUUCUCUUCCAAAUAUCUAUUUCUUAUGCCAUAGCUCAUUGACCUAAAUUCUAUCGACUGUGCUUGUUUUGCAGAUUAUCCCACUGUCAUCUGUGUCUGGCAAAAUCUCUCGGGACGAUCAAAUGCAAACACUGUUGAGGUAGGCAACUGAUGUACUUAUUAACAUCUUUUGCAACCUGACAAAAGAAAAGGUAUUAAUUUUGGUAGGUGCAUCAAUAUGCUUUUUUUUUUUUUUCGUGACAUGGUCUAAAUAAGAUUAAUCUUUAUCAUGAUGUUUAUUAUCAAGGUCUAUAUGCAAAGUCAAAUUAAGAAGCUUUCUUACUUUGAAUAACAGCUAUCGUGAAGAUGCAAAAAUGGGAUCUAGAACAGGUUUUCAAGUUGGCAAAUAUGACAGCUAAAUUUCAAUGAACCCUGCAGAUUAUAAUCUAUUUGUUAAAGUUCACAAUUCAUCUUUCUUCUAUCUAAAUUCUCACACCAUCUCAGAGAACAUUUCAUUUUCUUUGUUGUAAGGGAAAGGCGGAGAGGAGUAAUUAGGGAGACUAUGCUUUGUUUCUCUGUUGAGUAAUCCUAAAAGUCUUACGUUUGCCAUGAAGUAUUUUGAUUGAAAAUUGCUAGAAGGAGCUCCCGUCACAAUUAAUCUUCACAAAACCUUGCUCGGGUUACUCUACAGACCCUGCCUUUCAUCCACCCAAUCGUGACUUAGCUCUCUUACAUUUUUAACAGGCAACACAGUCUAAAAGAGCUUUCCUAAUCUGUGUAGUGAUAGUUCCAGGAUCAAGUGAUUUAUGUUUAAUGGUUAUUGCAUUUCGAGUGUUCCAGAUUAACAUUCUUAAGCGUUAUUGGCCCAUACCAAGUCAUUCGAUCUCCUGACAUCACAUUUGUAGAAUAUCAGGCCGUACCAAUAAGUGUCUAUCGCCAGUGAUUAGUGAUCACCCAUACUUGUCAGUUAACAAAAUCAUAGGAGUUUUCCAACCAUCAAAAAAUAAAAAUAAUCAACAGGGUAUCCCAGUUCAUUUUUUGUUGCAGUCAAUUAGGUGUGCAUAUAAUUUUAUUAGAUCACUCUUGUAAUUCUUCAUUAUGCAUGAAAGAUCAUUGUUAUUCAGGACUAAUUUCUCGUCCUAUUUCAGACUUUUGGAUGAGAAAUAUGAGGACUGUGGAAAGACUAUCAACAAUGGAGGAUAUAAGAAGCGUGGAGUAUUCUGCUUCCUUUGUCUCUGAUUUCUCUUUGGAUGACAAAUAUAAGGAACGUGGAAAGAUUAUCAAGUGGUCUUCAUAGCCAUCUCUCCUCUCUCAAACAGCUAUCUUUUAUAGGUUACUGGUACUUGCCAGGGGAUGGCUUUGCUCCCUCCUUCAAGUAUUCGGCAUAAUGCAAUGUGAAAUUCUGAAAGAUUAGUGCUCAAAAUUCAAUGGGGACUAUUGGCACCUCAUCCAAGAAAUCCCAUUCAUUAUAGUUGAUCGAGUUUGAAUUCGACAAGAAGAUUUCUCUCCA
rnacentral:lncRNA from 1 species